rnacentral:lncRNA from 1 species
AGUACUUUUCAACUGGAAAAUGUUCCGAGAAAACUGAUGUUUUUGGAUACGGAGUCAUGCUUCUUGAACUCAUCACUGGGCAGAGGGCUUUUGAUCCUCAGCUUGCGAGUCAUGAUGACCCCAUGUUAGUUGAUUGGGUAUGCAUUUACAUCUUUCUGUUUGUGUAUGUAGCUAAUUUAUUGUUAUAUGCAAGAUUAUUAUUUCUUGGGAGCAGCCUCUCCAUAAAUGGGGGUAAGGCUAGCCGACAUUCACCUCUUCCAGACCCUGCGUAAAGCGGGAGCCUUGUGCACUGGGUACGACCUUUAUGCAAGAUUAUUAUUUCCCAACAACAUUUGCAUUUCCUUAGUAAUUAGCUUUUAGAAAAUAAGUUUGGUUUAAUUAGCUUUUAUUAGUUAGAGUUGUGAUUAGCUGUGAAGAUUUGUUUAUCUUUAUUUAUAACAAUCUAAGGUUUAAGCUGUCAGAGUUAAUUUUUGCAUUUCCUUAGUAAUUGUUACCAUUCCUGUUUGAUUAAUGUAAAAAUCACUUGUCUUUUUGGCCCGAAUGUUGAAAACAGUAAGAAUCAUGGAUCAAAGAAAAGAAAUAAUACUUAACUUUUAGAAAAUAACUUUAGUUUAAUUGGCUUUUAUUAGUUAGAGUUACGAUUAAGCUGUGAAGAUAUAUUUAUCUUUAUUUAUGACAAUCUAAGGUUUAAAUUGUCAGAGAUUAAUUAUUACAUUUCCUUGGUAAUUGUUGUUAGUAUUGUUGUUGCUUCUUUUGCCAAUGUAUUGGCCUUGCUGUGAUUUCUUGAAGAAUUUGGCAUGUGUUUUGUAUCGAUCCUAAUUUCCUCAUCAUCUCUUUAUUCUCGCUAUCUUGGCCUCUUGCUUCUUUCUAUUCUCUCUAUUUGCAUCUUUGUCAAUUGUUAUAUUUGAAUGACGAUGCAUUUUUGUAAGCUAUUUGAUUUUCUGGAGAUACUGCGGCCCUUCAAAUUUUGAACAUUACAACACAUUUUCACUCUCCUAGGUGCCCUCACCUUUUGUUUCAAAUUGUAGAACUAUCUGACGUUUUCCGUUUUAUUUUAACUAAAACAAUUAGGUCAAAAGACUACUGAAAGAUCGAAGGUUGGAAACACUUGUUGAUGCUGAUCUAAAUGGUAAUUAUGUUGACGAUCAAGUGGAGCAGCUCAUCCAAGUAGCUCUACUGUGCACACAAGGCACCCCAGGGGAACGACCCAAGAUGUCAGAGGUUGUUCGGAUGCUGGAAGGCAAUGGUUUGGCUGAAAGAUGGGAGGAGUGGCAAAAAGAGUAGGUGUUCCACCAAGAUUUCAACCCUAUUCAUCAUCCAAGUACUAAUUGUAUCAUAGACUCAACUUUUCAUAUUCCUCCUGAUGAGUUGUCCGGUCCCAAAUGAUAUGCUCGUUGGUUCUGUCCCCUGUAUACAUCUAAGAAGCCUUCAGAGGACUGGAGAAUGUCCAUUUCGUAUUUCAGUGAUACCACAUUUGUGCUUAUGUUUUGUCUUUGUUUUCAAUUUUGGUUUUGUCUUGCGUAUUUUUUAGAUCAUAAAAUGGAGCUGAUGCUAUUGUAAUUUGGGAUGUGCUAUCCACACAUCACUUUUUACUUCUCACACACCCCUUGUUAAUUUCUGUCCGUUGAUCUUCUUCAAUUCAUCUGAUCCGACGGCCGAAAACCAAAAAGGUGUGGGAGAAGUAAAAAGGGGUGUGUGGAUAUCACACCCCUUGUAAGUUUUAUAGGGUCAACUGGCAUUACGAAGUUAUAUGGUGCUAGCAGGAAUUAGGAAGGGCCAUAAAAGCACUCAUUCCUGAUGAUUUAUGUAUCUAUCUAGAAAUUAGUCUAAAUUGUCGAGUAAAUAAUCAUUCUAAACUUAUAACCAUCUAUAUAUUUUAGUGUUCCUAUAGAUCCUGUAGAUACGAUAAGGACACUAGGUCAAGUGCAUGGCUGGUUGCGGAUGGAUAGUGUUUGAAAUUUCAUUGUGAUCAUUGCAAGUGCGAAUUUGUGGCACCACCUUUAUAAGUACUUGAACUAAGGCAGUAGGGGAUCAGGAGAUCACUUUGUGUCAUUCCAACACAGGAAUUCGAGCUUUGUCUAAUCUCUUUAGAGUAUCGCCAAUGGGGAUCCCUCUACUAUCUUUGAGGAUUUAUUUAGGACUAGCUGUAGGGUAAGACCUAAACCUAAAUAUUUGAGUUUAAACAAAAUAAAAAUGCAAUCUAAUUGUGGGACUUUUUUGUUUUUUAUGAACAAAAAAAUAUUAUCUGGAUUGAGUUAAGCCUUAUAGUGGGCUAGUAAUGACCUCUCUUACAUGUGAAGAGGAAUACUAUUAAACCGUAGUACUAGGUAAUAUCUAAUGGUUGGACUUAAACCUAAAAGGUUUGGCUUUUGACCAAGCUAAACCCAAAUUUGGGUUUGUAUUUGGCUGACCCAAAUUUUUGGGGGCCCUACCUUUUUUUCUGAAAAGCAACGGGCCAAUGAUUUAUUGAAGUGGCCGCGGCAUAUGGGUUAGGGGUGGUUCGGUAUGGGAUCCCAUACCAAAACACUUGUCCCGAUUCUCAAACCGAAAUUUUCGGGAAUCCCAAUUUCAAUACCGAUCCCAAACCAAAUUUUCGGGAAUCCCAAUUUUUGGGAAUCCCAAAAUAGUUUCGGGAUUUCGGGACAAAUCGGGAAUCCCGAAAUGGUUUUGGGCUUUUGGGCUUUUAGACUAAAAUUUGACAUAUUAUGCUUUUAGGCCCAAUCUGCCAAUUUGUUUCUACAAAUCUGCCAAUCAAAUCUGCCAAUCAAAUGGCAAGGCUUGUUUCUACUAAUCUCUACUUAAUAUUAAUACUAACACUUAGUUUUCAUUUCGAUGCAGAGAGUGAUGGAUCAACUGCAAAAUAGUGAAAGAAAACUAAGAAGCUCAAAACUGUACACAAAAACCAAAAUCAAGCAAAACGAAGAAGCUCAAAACUGAACAUUGCAAAGUAAACGCCAGAAACUGAGCACAGAAACUGAGCAAGCAUGCCAAGAAUCAAAGCAAACCCCACAAGAGUCAAGAAAUGAUAAUUGAGUCAUUCGAAGAGUACCCAGACAAGUUCUGUGCACAAAUUUGACAAUAUGGCUAGCAAAUAGCAAGCAAACAACAAAUAAUUAACAAGAACUAGUAACAGUGAGCAGAAUCAUAAGGUCUGAUUAGCUCACCUUCAUCAAGCACAAUUCCGACGUUCAAUCCCUUGAAAACAUCAGAUUCAGCCAGCUUCUCAGCACCGUCGUGUCCCCCAAUCUCCUCAUCAGGACCAUAUGACAAAUAAACAGACCUUUUGGGCUUAAACCCAGAAGCCUUGAGCCGUCGAAUCGCCUCCAAGUACUGAAUCCCGACGCACUUCAUGUCCUGGGACCCCCUGGCGUAAACGUCGCCGUUCGAGUCCAAGUUGGCCGAGAAAGGGGGGGUGUAACCACUUGUCGUGCUCGGCCGGAACGAUGUCGGUGUGGGAAUUGAGAAGAACAGAGGAGAGAGAGAUGAGAUGAGGGCUUGUCGGCUAGAUGAGGGAGAGAUCAGAGAUGAGAGAUUAGGGCUCGGCUAUUCGAUUUGAUAGAAACAAUGGAACGAAAGUGAAGUUUGUGAAAUGGUAUUCUGACCUAAAAACAUAUGAACGGCAAAGAUUAAAUCCAAAACAAUGAACGGUUGAAAUAAUUCUUUUAUAAUUAAAAGAAAAAAAAAAAAUAUAUAUAUAUAUAAUAUUUAUUUUCGAUUCGGUCUGGGAAUACCGAAAAUUUGAGAUUCAAAACCGAAUCCCAUACCGAAAAUAUCGGUUUGGUUCGGGAUUACAUACCGAAAAUUUCGGGAUUUUUGGUUUGGGAUUUUUUUGGUUUGAGAUCGGGAUUUUUUUGGUUUGGUUUGGGAUUUUUGGGAUUUUUUUCCGGGUUCCUCAUGCCAGCUGCAAAACAAUUUCAGGAAUCAGCUAAAAAGUCAAAAAUAAAUAUAAAUAAAAGAAGAAACGGAACUUCCAACGCGGUGGGCUGCGACUUUGCCUGAUUCUGCUAUUUAUUUUAACGAAAAAUCAUAUUUUUACAUUAAAAAGUCAAUCAUGAUACUUUACCUUUUAUUUUAUUAUUAUCGUUAAAACUCAAAUUUUUCAAACUAUUUUCAUUAAUUUUUCUUUAAAAUAAUUUAUAAUGCAUAAAACCAGAAAUCUCAUUUUGAGUGAGAAGUUGCAUAAACAAUGUCAGGAAUCCGCUGAAAAGUAAAAAAUAAAUAUAAACAAAAGAAGAAACGAAACUUCCGACGCGGUGGGCUGCGACUUAGACUGAUUGAGAGUCAUGUAUCCGCAGCUCCUCCGUCUUCCUCCCAAACCUUUUACCUUUUCUUUCUUUCUUCUCCAAAACUAGCAAUCUGAGAUUUCAACCUCUCUCUCUAAGAAGCAGCGGCAUGCUUUUCCAAACGCAAUCUGCAAUUUAAUCAAACAGCCACCGAAUUUUCUGGAAUCCGGUCAACGCAGCGAUGCUCCGGAUUUUGAUCGGUCAACGCCAGCUGCUUACCUGAGCUCCAAAAGACCCAACAGUGAUGACGUCUUCCACCUCUGUUUCUGUUUGGCUGAUUCUGCUGUUUGGCUUCUUUCACCUCCACAAGCUUGCAGCCAAUGUCGAGGGUAUGUCUCUGUGUGUUAUUGAAUUUGGGAGUGUUUGGUUGUGGGAACUGGAAUGAACUAAUGAAUGAAUGAAUGACUGGAAACAUUCCCGAAGAGCUUGGGGGUUUGUCAGACUUGGUGAGCUUGGAUCUUUACUUGGCAACCUUGCAAAACUGCGUUUCCUGUAUGAACCCCCAUCCUUUUGUUAGAUAAAAUCUAUCGUCAUUCUUUUUUAUUCGAUAUGCUAAUCUGCUGUUUUUAAUUGUUCCAUUGGAGUGACUUUCUUCCUUAAAGUCCUUGUGCCGGAUGCAUAUAAUUUAUAGUAUGAUCCCUGGUUUCAAGAUUCAGUCAUUGCAAGUCCUGUGAGUUUCAUACACUUUCAUCUCAGUAAGAGGGAGGAGAGAGUGAAAAGUUACUAAUUUCUCUGCCAUCAGAGAAUGCAAAUAACAUAUAGUUUUGCCAUGGAAUGCAGGGAUCUUUCAAAUAACAAUCUGACAGGGGAUAUUCCAGUUAAUGGAUCGUUUUCACUUUUUACUCCCAUCAGGUUUGUUGAAGCAACUGUACUCUUUUUCUUUAACUUUAGGGACAAAAAUAACAAUCUGACAGGGGAUACACUUUCAUCUCAGUAAGAGGGAGGAGAGGGUAAUAUAGCUUGAUCAAGUUGGUGUUGUAGUUGUUGUAUGGGAUGCAGGUUUCACUCAUCUACUGUCUUUGCAGCUGAGAAGGAUCCACAAGUUCAUUCACGACAGCUCAAAAACUUUUCUUUGCGCGAGCUACAAGUUGCAACAGAUACCUUUAGCGACAAAAAUAUUAUUGGUAGAGGUGGAUUUGGUAAGGUUUAUAGAGGACGCUUAGCUGAUGGAACUCUGGUUGCUGUAAAAAGACUUACAGAGGAGAGAACCCAAGACGGGGAACUACAGUUUCAAACAGAAGUUGAAAUGAUUAGAAUGGCUGUCCACCACCGCAAUCUGCUUUGUCUCCAUGGUUUUUGCAUGACACCAACAGAAAGGCUGCUUGUAUAUCCUUAUAUGGCUAAUGGAAGUGUGGCAUCUUGUUUAAGAGGUACUCAUCUAAAUUGUUUGCUGCGUUGAUGAAUCUUUUUGUUUUCACGACGUUAAAUUUUUUUUCGAUCACAUUGAUAUAAUGAAUUUAAAAACCUGACCAAUUUGGCUUGGAGUAUCAACACUAAUUUUUUUAAUGUUUUGUUUCCUUCAAUUUUAAUUUACCUUCUCGAUGCUGAUUUUAUUUCUGUUUAAUUUGAAAAGGAUGACAAGAAGACCCUUUUUUUGGGUAGGACGGGUGGUAUGAUAUGUGUUAGACCACAUUACCUGUUGCUUGUAAUUUGAAAUUCUCCUCUCAUAAGUAUGUGGAUAUAUUAUUGUAGGUCGUCCGGAAGGACAACCUGCACUUGAUUGGCCAAUAAGACAACGCAUUGCAUUGGGAUCUGCAAGAGGCCUUGCUUAUUUACAUGAUCACUGUGAUCCAAAAAUUAUUCACCGUGAUGUGAAAGCAGCAAACAUAUUGUUGGAUGAGGAAUUCGAAGCAGUUGUUGGAGACUUUGGGUUGGCUAAACUCAUGGACUACAAGGAUACAUAUGUUACCACACAUGUAUGUGGCACAUUUGGUCAUAUGGCACCGGAGCACUUUUCAACUGGAGUGUCUUCCGAGAAAACUGAUGUUUUUGGAUACGGAGUCAUGCUUCUUGAACUCAUCACUGGGCAGAGGGCUUUCAAUCCUCAUCUUGCGAGUGAUGAUGAUGUCAUGUUAGUUGAUUGGGUAUGCAUUUACGUCUUUCUGUUUGUGUAUGUAGCUAGUUCAUUGUUAUAUGCAAGAUUAUUUCCCAACAACAUUUGCAUUUCCUUAGUAAUUAGCUUUUAGAAAAUAAGUUUGGUUUAAUUAGCUUUUGUUAGUUAGAGUUAUGAUUAGCUGUGUAGAUUUGUUUAUCUUUAUUUAUAACAAUCUAAGGUUUAAACUGUCAGAGAUUAAUUAUUGCAUUUCCUUAGUAAUUGUUACUAUUGUUGUUGCUUCUUUUGCCAAUGUAUUGGCAUUUUGUGAUUUCUUGAAGAAUUUGGCAUAUGUUUUGUGUCGAUCGUAAUUUCCUCAUCAUCUCCUUAUUCUCGCUAUCGUGGCCUCUUGCUUUUUCCUAUUCUCUCUAUUGCAUCUUUGUCUUCUCUUUGCAUGAUAUCAAUAUUUGAAUGACGAAACAUUUUUGUAAGCAGUUCGAUUUUCUGUAGAAAACUGCGGUCCUUCAAAUUUUGAACAUUACAACACGUUUUUGUUCUCCUAGGUUCCCGCACCUUUUGUUUCAAAUUGUAGAACCACCCGACAUUUUCUGUUUUAUUUUUCCUAAAAAAAUUAGGUCAAACGACUACUGAAAGAACGGAGGUUGGAAAGACUUGUUGAUGCUGAUCUAAAUGGAAAUUAUAUUGACGAUCAAGUGGAGCAGCUGAUCCAAGUAGCUCUACUGUGCACACAAGGCUCCCCAGGGGAACGGCCCAAGAUGUCAGAGGUUGUCCGAAUGCUUGAAGGCGAAGGCGAAGGUUUGGCUGAAAGAUGGGAGGAGCGGCAAAACGAGGAGGUGAUCUGCCAAGAUUUCAACACUAUUCAUCAUCCAAGUACUUGGAUCAUAGACUCACCCUCUCCUAAUUUUGUGUUGUACUAUUUCUUUGAGUUUGAAGAAAUGGAUAAAAAGAAUGACAUGUGAUAGAGAGUUCAUCAUAUAACUUCUGACUUUAAGGAUUUUUCAUUUAGUUCUGGUUCAUGUUGCGCAAAUAAUAUUAGGUAACACUGCUACUGGGGCUAUUGCUGGAGGGGUUGCUGUUGGUGCUGCUUUAACGUUUGCUGCAACUGCAAAUACACUUGCUUAUUGGCGACGGAGAAAACCACAGGAUCAUUUCUUUGAUGUACCUGGUUAGUGAACUAUAGGAGUAAUAUAGCUUGAUAAAGGUGGUGUUUUAGUAUGGGAUGCAGGUUUCACUAAUCUACUGUCUUUGCAGCUGAGGAGGAUCCAGAAGUUCUUUUAGGACAGCUCAAAAGGUUUUCUUUGCGCAAACUACAAGUUGCAACGGAUAACUUUAGUAACAAAAAUAUUCUUGGUAGAGGUGGAUUUGGUAAGGUUUAUAAAGGACGCUUAGCUGAUGGAACUCUGGUUGCUGUAAAAAGACUUAAAGAGGCGAGAACCCAAGGUGGGGAGCUGCAGUUUCAAACAGAGGUUGAAAUGAUUAGCAUGGCUGUCCACCGCAAUCUGCUUCGUCUGCAUGGUUUUUGCAUGACACCAACAGAAAGGCUGCUUGUAUAUCCUUAUAUGGCUAAUGGAAGUGUGGCAUCAUGUAUAAGAGGUACUCUUCUAAAUUGUUUGCUGCGUUGAUGAAUCUUUUUGUUUACACAUGGGUAAAUUGCAUUUUACACCCUCAGGUUUGAGUGUAAUUGCAACCUCAUACAACAUUUUAAAACAUUUCAAUUUUAUUUAUUUACUUAUCAUUUUUAGCAAUUUCAUACAUCUGAUAGUCAAACCGUCAGUUUGACUGUUAAGGGAUGACAUGGCAAAUGUGAGGUCUACAUUUUGUUGACGGGGAUGCCAACUAUGAUUCACGUGGAAUAAAAACAAAUAAAAAGGAUUAAUAAAUAGAAAAUUAAUUUUUUUUUAAUUUAAAACUAAAAAAAUAGAAAAGAUUAAAAAAAAAAAAUGGUGUUGUUCAUCCCUAUCCUGCUCUCACCCCGUCCCCGCAUUCUUCAUUUCCCCCCGCCCACCAUCGCCACCUUCCCUUUCCUCAGCCACUGCAAUGAAUAGACCACAUUACCUGUUGCUUGUAAUUUGAAAUUCUCCUCUCAUAAGUAUGUGGAUAUAUUAUUGUAGAUCGUCCCGAAGGACAACCUGCACUUGAUUGGCCAAUAAGACAACGCAUUGCAUUGGAAUCUGCCAGAGGCCUUGCUUAUUUACAUGAUCACUGUGAUCCAAAAAUUAUUCACCGUGAUGUGAAAGCAGCAAACAUAUUGUUGGAUGAGGAAUUCAAAGCAGUUGUUGGAGACUUUGGGUUGGCUAAACUCAUGGACUACAGGGAUACACAUGUUACCACAGCUGUACGUGGCACAAUUGGUCAUAUAGCACCAGAGUACCUUUCAACUGGAAAAUGUUCCGAGAAAACUGAUGUUUUUGCAUACGGAGUCAUGCUUCUUGAACUCAUCACUGGGCAGAGGGCUUUUGAACUUGCUCGGCUUGCGACCAAUGAUGAUGUCAUGUUACUUGAUUGGGUAUGCUUAUACGUGUUUCUGUUUCUGUUUGUUGCUAAUUUUCUGUUUUCCUUAAUAUGUUUCAUAUUUUAUUAAAAAAAAAAGACAUAAUGUUGUUGAAAUUCAACGAUCUAUUGUGUCUCUUUGUCCAAAUCUUGGAAAUUAUGUUUCAAUACUCAUUUUUAAAGAAAUGUUAUAUAAUAUAGUGUGAAUUAGGUGUAUCUCUCGAUACCAAUGUUGCUAUUUAUUUAAGCCAAAAAUAAUGGGUCUCGACACCUAAUCACUUUAUUUCAAACCGCUAAUCUCAUAUGACAUUCUUAAUCAUUGUAUAUGGAACAUUUAAAAAC